GUAUAUUAAAGUUGUUGCAGUUAAAAAGCUCGUAGUUGAAUUUCGGGAUCAGUAGGUUGGUCGUGCCUCUGGUAUGUACUGGCUUUACUGAUUCCUCCUUCUUGAAGAACUGUAAUGUCAUUAAUUUGGUGUUGCAGGGAAACAGGACUGUUACUUUGAAAAAAUUAAAGUGUUAAAGCAGGCCAGC
rnacentral:rRNA from 1 species